GAUGAACGCUGGCGGCGUGCUUAACACAUGCAAGUCGAACGAAGCAUUUAGGACAGAUUACUUCGGCUUGAAGCGCGUUAUGACUGAGUGGCGGACGGGUGAGUAACGCGUGGGUAACCUGCCUUGUACUGGGGGAUAGCAGCUGGAAACGGCUGGCAAUACCGCAUAAGCGCACAAUGUUGCAUGACAUGGGGUGAAAAACUCCGGUGGUAUAAGAUGGACCCGCGUCUGCUGAGCUAGGUGGUGAGAUAACAGCCCACCAAGGCGACGAUCAGUAGCCGACCUGUGAGGGUGGCCGGCCACAUUGGGACUGGGCCACGGCCCAGACUCCUACAGGAGGCAGCAGUGCGGAAUAUUGCACAAUGGAGGAAACUCUGAUGCACCGACGCCGCGUGAGUGAAUAAGUAAUUCGUUAUGUACAGCUCUAUCAGCAGGGAAGAUAGUGACGGUACCUGACGAAGAAGCUCCGGCUAACUACGUG
rnacentral:rRNA from 1 species